rfam:Clostridium saccharolyticum-like K10 draft genome.
UUACUUAAGUAUUGACUGCCUAAGACAGCAGGUGCCGCAAGGCAUAAGGUGAAAACGCCUGCCGAGGAAACGUACACUUACUGAUGUAAACGGUGCCUCCCUGUCUCUGGCAGGGAGGCUUUUUCUGUAAGACU